rnacentral:tRNA from 1 species
AGCGAGAUAGUUCAGCGGUAGAACAGAGGGCUCAUAUCCCUUAUGUCCCGGGUUCGAAUCCCGGUCUCGCUU